UGCCUUUAGGUUCUAUGGUGGUAUACCUGAGU
rnacentral:piRNA from 1 species